AUUGAACGCUAGCGGCAUGCUUAACACAUGCAAGUCGAACGGUAACAGGCCUAGCUUGCUAGGUGCUGACGAGUGGCGAACGGGUGAGUAACGCGUAGGAAUCUACCUCGUAGUGGGGACAACCCGAGGAACUCGGGCUAAUACCACAUAAUCUCUACGGAGCAAAGGGGGCCUCUAUUUAUAAGCUCUCGCUAUGAGAAGAGCCUGCGUCAGAUUAGUCNGUUGGGUGGGGUAAAGGGCCUACCAAGGCAACGAUCUGUAGCUGGUCUGAGAGGACGAUCAGCCACACUGGGACUGAGACACGGCCCCAGACUCCUACGGGGAGGCAGCAGGUGGGGGAAUAUUGGACAAUGGGCGAAAGCCUGAUCCAGCAAUGCCGCGUGUGUGAAGAAGGCCU
rnacentral:rRNA from 1 species